GCCUACGGGGGGCAGCAGUGGGGGAUAUUGCACAAUGGGCGAAAGCCUGAUGCAGCGACGCCGCGUGAGGGAAGACGGUCUUCGGAUUGUAAAACCCUGUUGUUAGAGAAGAAAGUGCGUGAGAGUAACUGUUCACGUUUCGACGGUAUCUAACCAGAAAGCCACGGCUAACUACGUGCCAGCAGCCGCGGUAAUACGUAGGUGGCAAGCGUUAUCCGGAUUUAUUGGGCGUAAAGGGAACGCAGGCGGUCUUUUAAGUCUGAUGUGAAAGCCUUCGGCUUAACCGGAGUAGUGCAUUGGAAACU
rnacentral:rRNA from 1 species